rfam:Stegodyphus mimosarum contig4253, whole genome shotgun sequence.
GCCUUCGUGGGUGUAGUGGUCUGCAUGGUCGACGCGUAACCGAGAGGUCCGUGGUUCGAUUCCCGGCGAAGGCG